rnacentral:rRNA from 1 species
UACGGGGGGGGCAAGCGUUGUUCGGAAUUACUGGGCGUAAGGGGCUCGUAGGUGGCCAACUAAGUCAGACGUGAAAUCCCCAGGCUUAACCUGGGAACUGCGUCUGAUACUGGAUGGCUUGAAUUCGGGAGAGGGAUGCAGAAUUCCAGGUGUAGCGGUGAAAUGCGUAGAUAUCUGGAGGAAUACCGGUGGCGAAGGCGGCAUCCUGGACCGAGAUUGACACUGAUGAGCGAAAGCUAGGGGAGCAAACGGG